rnacentral:rRNA from 1 species
AGUGAAUGCUUGUGAUCGACUUUACACAUGCAAGUUGUUGUAACUAAGUUUUAGUUAGAUAGCGUAUUGGCGAGUAAGAUAGAAGAAUCUUGAUAUUAUAGGAUAAAACAUUCUAUAAGAAAAUUUAAUUUUUAAAUUUUUAAAGUGAAGAGGCGUAAUAGAAAGAGCUUCUAUAGGAUUAGGUAGUUGGUAGUGGUAAUGGCCUACCAAGCCAUCGAUCCUUAGCGGGUGUGAGAGCACGCACCGUCGCAGUGGGCCUGCAAAAAAGCCCAAACUUGAAAGGCAGCAGUGGGGAAUCUUGGACAAUGAACUAACGUUUGAUCCAGUAAGAUCGCGUGGUCCAAUAAAGCGCGAUAUCUGGUGGACCGUUUAUAGAUGAAGAAAAUGACUGUAAUUUAUAAAAAAGACCCGGCAAACUUCGUGCCAGCAGCCGCGGUGAAACGGAGGGGUCUAGUGUUAUUCAACGUAACUGGGCGUAAAAGCAUGUAGUCGGAUAGCUAAGUUUGUUAAAAAAAAGACGUGGGGUUGAACCUAUGAGUUGAAUAUUGUUACUGGCUGUCUUUGAAUCUUGGAGGAGUUAUCGGCCCUUUGAAUGGAGAGGUAAAAUUCGUAGAUAUUCACGGUACGACCGGUGGUGGAAACUGAUAACUAUUUAAGAUUGACGAUGAGAUGCUAAAGUGUAGGGAUCAAAAAGGAUUCGAUACCCUUGUAGUCUACACCCUGACCGAUGAGUGUUGGAUUUAAAUUUUUAAGAAAAUUUUUGUCUAAUGUUAACGCAAAAACACUCCGCCUAGGAACUACAAUCGCAAGAUUAAAACUUAAAGGAAUUGACGGAGAGUUUUUUUCAGUGGUGGAGCAUGUGGUUUAAUGUGAUUCAACGCGCCAAAUCUUACCAAUCCUAGUUAUUAAUAUAUAUUGAAUGUAGUUUUUCAAUAAAAAUUAAUUGCGUAUAUACAUAUAAUUGCAUUAAUUUUUAAUUUAUUAAUAUCAGUUGAUGCAUGGCCGUCGUCAGUCCGUGCUUUGAAGUGUUUGGUUAGAUCUCUUAACGGACGUAACCCUUGUUGCUUUUUGAUAUGGCAAGAAGUGAUGCGUAAUGCAUCAGGAAGAAAGGAUGACGUCAGGUCCGUACACCGCUUAUGGGUUGGGCUACACAUGUGCUACAAUGGCUGUUACAAUAGAAGCUAGAACGUAAGUUUACGCAAAACCUAAAAAGCAGCCUUAGUUCGAAUUGCUUUCUGAAACUUGAAAGCAUGAAGUAGGAAUCACUAGUAAUCGCUUAUCACUAUGAAGCGGUGAAUAUUCUAUUGCUCUCGUACACACAGCCCGUCAGGCGGCGAAAGUACGUUGGGGAGGACAUUAGUGAUGACCUUGAAUUUUUGAGUUAAUUAUUUUGUUUCGACAAAUAAUUAACAGUUUUGAGGUUCAGCUAGUAAUUUCUUGAUUUAUGAUUGCUGUU